GACACCACUCGACCGUCCCCCUUCAUCCUCCCGUAAAACGUGCGGUGAGGGGUGGCGAGCGGACUAUGCGUGUUCCGGAGCUGCCCGCGCGCCCUCGGGUGUUCGGCGAGCGCUCCGCGUGCACCGAAUAUUGUGAACGAAACCUCUCUUCUGUUUGCGGCCUUCGUCGCGCAGAGCUGUUGACGGCGCCUGUACCCUUCACCGGGUUCGGCGACUCUCGGCUCGAUCAAUGUGCGGUGAAGGGCCAUUCGCGACUGAGUGGNGNUUCGCGCCGUGCGUCCCUGCGACGUGCUCCGUGUUUUACUACUUUCG
rnacentral:rRNA from 1 species